UUAGUCCCGCAUUGCCAGACCGGCCUCCACAGCUCUGCGGAGCAAGGUCUGGCUAGUCCACACAGCAUUCCGGGAUAGGAAAAAAACAUGCUCUGGUUA